rnacentral:rRNA from 1 species
UACGAAGGGGGCUAGCGUUGCUCGGAAUCACUGGGCGUAAAGCGCACGUAGGCGGCUUUUUAAGUCAGGGGUGAAAUCCUGGAGCUCAACUCCAGAACUGCCUUUGAUACUGAGAAGCUUGAGUCCGGGAGAGGUGAGUGGAACUGCGAGUGUAGAGGUGAAAUUCGUAGAUAUUCGCAAGAACACCAAUGGCGAAGGCAGCUCACUGGGACGGUACUGACGCUGAGACGCGAAAGCGUGGGGAGCAAACAGG